GGGUGAGUAACACGUGGGCAAUCUGCCCUUCACUCUGGGACAAGCCCUGGAAACGGGGUCUAAUACCGGAUAACACUCUGUCCCGCAUGGGUACGGGGUUAAAAGCUCCGGCGGUGAAGGAUGAGCCCGCGGCCUAUCAGCUUGUUGGUGGGGUGAUGGCCUACCAAGGCGACGACGGGUAGCCGGCCUGAGAGGGCGACCGGCCACACUGGGACUGAGACACGGCCCAGACUCCUACGGGAGGCAGCAGUGGGGAAUAUUGCACAAUGGGCGAAAGCCUGAUGCAGCGACGCCGCGUGAGGGAUGACGGCCUGCGGGGUGUAAACUCUUUCAGCAGGGAAGAAGCGAGAGUGACGGUACCUG
rnacentral:rRNA from 1 species